rnacentral:rRNA from 1 species
ACCGGCGCACGGGUGCGUAACGCGUAUGCAACCUACCUGUAACAGGGGGAUAACACUGAGAAAUCGGUACUAAUACCGCAUAACACUAUGAGAGGCAUCUCUUGUGGUUGAAAGUUUCGGCGGUUACAGAUGGGCAUGCGGCGCAUUAGCUAGUUGGUGAGGUAACGGCUCACCAAGGCGACGAUACAUAGGGGGACUGAGAGGUUAACCCCCCACAUUGGUACUGAGACACGGACCAAACUCCUACGGAAGGCAGCAG